rnacentral:rRNA from 1 species
ACGGAAGGCAGCAGUGGGGAAUAUUGGGCAAUGGGCGAAAGCCUGACCCAGCAACGCCGCGUGAAGGAAGAAGAUCUUCGGAUUGUAAACUUCUUUUAUGAGGGACGAAGGACGUGACGGUACCUCAUGGAUAAGCCACGGCUAACUACGUGCCAGCAGCCGCGGUAAUACGUAGGUGGCGAGCGUUAUCCGGAUUUACUGGGUGUAAAGGGCGCGUAGGCGGGGUGACAAGUCAGAUGUGAAAUCUAUGGGCUCAACUCAUAAACUGCAUUUGAAACUGCCACUCUUGAGUGCUGGAGAGGUAGACGGAAUUCCUUGUGUAGCGGUGAAAUGCGUAGAUAUAAGGAAGAACACCAGUGGCGAAGGCGGUCUACUGGACAGUAACUGACGCUGAGGCGCGAAAGCGUGGGGAGCAAACAGGAUUAGAUACCCUGGUA